rnacentral:tRNA from 1 species
GAAGGUGUAGCUCAAAAAAGGCUUGUAGCUUUUAAGGUAGAGCGGCUGCAAAGCCGACUGGUUCUCGGUUCAAAUCCGAGCGCCUUCC